UUUUCUGUGCUGGUGUUGUGUACUCAGGUGAAUAUGAUAUGUUUGUGAUGUUAACAUCAUAUUCACCUGAGUACACAACACCAGCACAGAAAA